UACGGAGGAUGCAAGCGUUAUCCGGAAUUAUUGGGCGUAAAGCGUCCGCAGGUGGCUAUGUAAGUCUGCUGUUAAAGAGUGAGGCUCAACCUCAUAAGAGCAGUGGAAACUACAUAGCUAGAGUGCGUUCGGGGCAGAGGGAAUUCCUGGUGUAGCGGUGAAAUGCGUAGAUAUCAGGAAGAACACCGGUGGCGAAAGCGCUCUGCUAGGCCGCAACUGACACUGAGGGACGAAAGCUAGGGGAGCGAAUGGG
rnacentral:rRNA from 1 species